rnacentral:rRNA from 1 species
CCUACGGGCGGCAGCAGUGAGGAAUAUUGGUCAAUGGACGAGAGUCUGAACCAGCCAAGUAGCGUGAAGGAUGACUGCCCUAUGGGUUGUAAACUUCUUUUAUAUGGGAAUAAAACGUUCCACGUGUGGGAUUUUGUAUGUACCAUAUGAAUAAGGAUCGGCUAACUCCGUGCCAGCAGCCGCGGUAAUACGGAGGAUCCGAGCGUUAUCCGGAUUUAUUGGGUUUAAAGGGAGCGUAGGUGGAUUGUUAAGUCAGUUGUGAAAGUUUGCGGCUCAACCGUAAAAUUGCAGUUGAAACUGGCAGUCUUGAGUACAGUAGAGGUGGGCGGAAUUCGGGGUGUAGCGGUGAAAUGCUUAGAUAUCACGAAGAACUCCGAUUGCGAAGGCAGUUCACUGGACUGCAACUGACACUGAGGCUCGAAAGUGUGGGUAUCAAACAGGAUUAGAUACCCUGGUAGUC